UUAAAAUUGACAGAAAACGUCAAAAAAUAUAUCAUUAAAAUGUAUAAAAAAAUGUUAUGAGUAAUUAUUCAGUAUUGAAAAUUCUUUAACCACAAUGUGCCUGCGUGUCUGUGAAUUUUGGACAUGGCGUUUAAUGUCCAUGUAUAUUGCUUGCGUCGGGAUCUUCGUAUCUUUUAUAUUUGGACCCCUACAAACUGUUGUAUAUCUUACAGAUCAACAUUCCGAGAUGUCUAGACUUAUAAACAAUGAGAUAAAUUUAGCACUAAUGCUUUGGUUUAUCGUUGCUUUCAUGUGGCUUAUAUUAAUCGCAAAUAUUAUCCUUUUCUUUGGUUGUUUUUAUAAUAAUAACAAGCUAGUCAUGGUAUAUUUCUACGCGAUUCUAUUUCAUUUAAUCGUCGCGUUUAAUUUGUGUAUUAGAUACGCCAUCUUGUGUUCAUUUUUCGACAACAAAUGCUUCGAUCACUCUCCUGAUAGGCAGAGUGAUGAUAGCUUCACUGGUGUUGGCAUUAUAUUUGCAUUCCUAACUUACACCGUCGCAUGGUCUGUUAUACUUUUUGUUGUAUGGAAUUAUAAAUUGACUUUACCUCUAUCUUAA